GUUGUCCUCGCUUUGUGAUGAGCUCCAGUGGGCGGUGACCUGAGACCCAGGAAUCAAGGCCCUUCCGACAGCGCGCGCCUCCCUGCGCGGGCCCCACAAGGCCAGAGGAUGAGUCAGCGCCGAGUGACUCAGGGAGUAAUUUUAGACACUUGGAGGGCUGCAGAAUCAUGUGGAGAUGCCGAAAACACAAAAACAAGCGUCCCAGACUCUGCCUCUGGGCUCCUCUGGCAGAGCCAAUCACCGGCUCUUUCAGUUGCUACUCACAGUGGCAUUUUCCACACCUGGCCCCGGAGGCUGAGGGCCGGUGACCUCCGCUCCGUGGGCGGGCACCGCGGUGAGCGGGCUGUGGGGUGAUGGCCGUGCAGAACUGUGUCGCGUCCUUAUUUCUCGGAGUUAGCCUGUUCUGCCAAGUUCUCCCUUCAUAGUCAGGAACCAACCAAUUGCCAUGAAAAUCAGAUGAAUAAAUAUUGAAGAGAAUGUGCUCAUCGUCUAUUUUAGGGUCCUCGCGCGAGGAAGUGACAUUACCUUAGCAAUUAAGUCUUCCACUUCCAUUUUCUUCCUCAGCUAACGUUGUCCUCCGUGUGAUCCAUUAAACUAGAUAAUCAGAUCCAGCUAAAAGUCCCCCACCCCCUACCCCGCAAAGGACAGUCCUGAGUUGGUGGGACUUAAAUUUUCUCAAUGGCACUGCAUAUUUCUCCUGCAGAGUUAAAAUCACGUGGGUGGCCCAGCUUUGAGUAUUGGCUCGCCUAGACACCUGCUUUAACCAUGUUGCCGUCACUUUAUUUCCUCCUGAUUUUUGACACCAUCUGGAUACCGCUCUGUGAAUGUAUAAUACAUGUGCCAUUACUAGUGUGUCUCUCUUUUAAAGUUAUCCUUUGGUCUAUAAAGACUACGUGAACAAAACCCAUUUGGUAUCUUCGGCUUAUGACAUGACAAAUUCAGCUAAACUUUAACUUUUGGUUUUCUUAAAUAACUAAAAUCUCCAGCUGACAGAUUUAUAUUCUUCUCUCCUGCUUCCUUUUAGGUAGCCACCACUGAACUGCAGGCGAGCCUUCCAAGCCCAGAGGGCCCUGGGCUGGUCCCAUGGAGGAGCUCAUGUGUGAUCCUACACCUUGGCUCUCAGUCCCUGACCUGCGAAAGCUGGGGCUGCUCUCGGAGCUCAUCUACCCAAUGCUUGUGGAACACCUGCCACGUGCCAGGCACUGCUGCCGGGGCUGGGCUCGGCACAACAGACAAGGUCACCACCCUCAUGGCAAGUCUGGCCCAGUGGGAGAAGGGCAGCCAAGUAGUGAGCAACUUUGUGUCAACACGUAAAGGCACUCCUGCUCAGUGGAUGCGAUGUAGGGAUGGACGGAUGGAUCUCAGAAGGCAGCAGAUGAACUGGCAGAGGCGGGACCUGUGA